UACGUAGGGUGCAAGCGUUGUCCGGAAUUACUGGGCGUAAAGAGCUCGUAGGUGGUUUGUCGCGUUGUUCGUGAAAACUCACAGCUCAACUGUGGGCGUGCGGGCGAUACGGGCAGACUUGAGUACUGCAGGGGAGACUGGAAUUCCUGGUGUAGCGGUGGAAUGCGCAGAUAUCAGGAGGAACACCAAUGGCGAAGGCAGCUCGCUGGAACGGUACUGACGCUGAGGCGCGAAAAGCGUGGGGGAGCAAACAGG
rnacentral:rRNA from 1 species